rnacentral:sRNA from 1 species
UUACUUAAUUUCCUAGCCUUAAUCGGCUAUUGGCUGGUGGCAAAAAUGCCACCGGCCU